rnacentral:rRNA from 1 species
AUGCUUCCCAGAUCCCAAAUGGCCAUACAACUCACGCUUCUACUCAUUUCGUGUAGCCUUUACAGUAUGUAUUCCUCUUCUUCUUUCUCCACGUCCUCCUCUCUUGCAUUGCUGGUGCUGGUUAUCUCCACCUGCCUCUCCUUGCUCUUCUCGAACCUCAGACAACUGAUGAGAACCAGCAGCCACAAAACUUCCAUGGAGGUGGUUGCUCAUCAGGAGAAGAGCACUGUGCCACAAGAUGAGGUGUCCGAGGAUGCGCCGGUGGAUUCGGCUGGAAGCCUGUCAGGGUCGUCAGAUUGCCAGGUGAGUGAAGAGUGGACUGAUGAAGUCUCGGUGUCUGACGACGACGACGAGAGUCUUAUUGAGAUCUCCCUUGUUGAUGGGUACUAUGUGGGGCAAGAGGAGCAAUGCCUCUGGAAGAAGGAGCAAGACCUCCUCGUUGACUUCCUGCCGGAGUUCGUUCUCGACAGGAGGGACUUCAUAGACAUCUUGCCGGAGAUCGGUGAGGAGGAAAACAUGAUCGAGAUUGACAUUGCAAGGGGCUCCAUCAAGUGCGCAAACUUCAGCGUCAAAGCAUGA